UCUUUUUCCGUUCUUUUUUAUUUGUGGCAACUUAUGAGCGACAUGUCCGAUCCGGAGUGGGACACUCACUUGCGACCUCUCUUUACAGCCUUGACGAACGGGCUUCGAGUAAGCGGUGCGCUACUGGAUCUUCUAGUGCAGACGAGAGUGUUGAACUACGCGGAGAGAUCGAUAGUAGACAGAGUGCAGCCUAAUACUGAAGAGGAGAAAAAGACUCAAGUAUUGGACAUGAAAAACUAGCCAAAAGGCUGAGAUCAGGAGAAGGCGAAGACGAAGUGGAUGCCCAAAUGGAAGAAACGUCAAAUGGUGACAAC